GUGUUUUUUGUAAACAAACUUGUUUCGCUCAUUAGUCUGCUGCAGUGUGGAAUUUCAUGAAAAAUAUGCGUUAAUGUAAAUUUUUACCCUUCGUAGAAGUAAUUUCAAUUGUUUUCUGCUUUGAAAUUAUAGUAAAUUAAGAGAAACCAUCAAAAUAAAAGUUUGUUUACAAAUCUUAUUCGCCCUUUUGUAAAUUUAAUAUGGAGUUGACUAUAAAUAUUGCAUUAUUCAACAAUCUGUUUUCAACUAUAGUAUACCAAGAAGCGCAGUGCUAGUUCAGCAACACAGAAAUAUACCUCAGAAGAAUCAACUUUCACCGCUGACCAGUGCGGUCGAGAAAAUUUCCGGCGAAUCCAAUGCAGCAACAACGUCCACUUUCAGUACCGCAAUACAAAGCGAUCCAACAGCGUGGGAAAUUUUAUCGCAAAAUUUUAUAUCAGCGCAACAGCUAUGUAUACCAAAAGCGAUACCACGUCGAUGGCCGAAAUGAUUUUUGGUUCUGCACCUAUAGUCUUCCAGGACAGCAGUUUGAAGCCAACAGUAGCAGCAACAGCAGUAAAAAAGUAUCCACUUCCACCUACUUGGGCUAUGAACUGCCAAGUAUCGGUCAGAAUGCACUAUACAACGGCCGACAUACGUCGGAAAGUGAUCGUAGCUCCAUAGGUACAACGUCACUACGGUCGUUUACUGUUACUUCGUCCACUUUGAUGUAAUAUGAUACUUCGUACAACCACAGACAAAGGCCACCACUGCCAAUCGAGUUUGCGCAUUUGUAGCAUCUGGCAGAUCCGAGACUUUCAACCAAAAGUGGCCUUGACUCAGGGUAUGGUGGAACGGAACCUUGGGCGUUUUCAUCAAGUCAACCACGCCAUCGCACCGAAACAGUCUAGCAUCAAUUUCUAGUGAUUUCGAGUGUUUUCGAAGACUUAGUUUAGAUACCAGUAUUGAUAUUUCACAGUCUCUGAAUUGCACAAGUUUAGACGACUAUAGUCAGUAUGGCAGCUUUCAUCGAGGUCAAUACGACCGGUUCGGUGAACAUUAGCAGUCAAGUGACAGCGAGCGAUGGUUGCGCCGGUGGUAAAAAUCGACGGAAUAGUGAAACCAUAGUACUGACUAGACAAAAAGCGUUUAGCGGGGAAGUUCUUUCCACUGCAACCAAUUAUCACGGGAGACCUUUGCACAAAAAGGCACGUCUAGGAAUUGUGCUGUGCGUUCAACUAAACGAUGACAUGCUGCAGGAAAUUGAAGCAUUCAGCUCGGAACACAUGAGUAUAUUUGAAUCAAUGCUGUGUCGUUUAAGAAUGGCGGCGGAAAACGCAAGCUACAGGUAGCCGCAGUUACUCCAGAUAAUGCUGGUUGCCGGCAUAACGCAGCAGUGCCCAGUGGAUUUUUUUACUGUACCCAAACUGGUAAAUCCCAUGUGGCUAACGCUAAGCAGUGGUGCGUGCACUCUUGGAACUCAAAGCAGUACAUGUUCUAAUCGGGCUGCGCUUAAAAUUGAUAAUAAUUUUAUGAACGAUCUUUGUUACCUGCUAUUGCUGGCCAACAUUAAGGAUACACAUUUUUUAAUCAGCGCACUACUAACGGCGAUAUUAAAGUACUACCUGGGCUGGGUGAGUACCAUUGCCCCUGUGAGUGGUUCCGCUUACGAAGCAGAUACAGAUUGUGCUACAAUACAGCGAUAGAAGGAGAAGCGGUGCAAACUAACUACCAAUCACCCGUACAUCAUACUGUGGGUCCAAUGUAGCUAUUUGUAUGGAACCGUCGGACACCCGGUGAAACUGUCGAGAACAAUGAUCUGCAGAAGCCCCCAAUUGAGCAAUACCAUGGAUAAAAUUCUAAAUGAGCUAUCUUACUUCGUAAGAUGUAGCGAGAUCAAGCGGGUUGUCCUCGUAGAGGCUUUCGACGAGUAUAAAGCUGAGCAGGCAUUCGCUGCGCAAAAGAUUAUAAAUAAUUAUUCGCUCCUUAUGUUAAUUGUUAACUUUAACCAAAAAUGCUUUUCCUUGACCUGAUGUACAGUGUAAACUAACAGAUUUUCGUACGUAAUAAAACUGCAAAAUAACGAAAAAUACAAAUUAUAGCAACAGUGUCAUAAGGUUUGGUGGAAAUAACUGUGGAGAAAAUAGAGGAUUACACAAAUCCCCCAGAUUCUUGCGAUCCGGAUCUGCGAUGGUUCGUUCGGCAACCACGACCAAAGACUAAACUUCGAUGGCUGGUAAUGAAUAAGUCUUGCUGGGAGCGAACUGGUCGGAGUUACGUCAGACCGGGCUAAGUGACAAUAUAUUGAUUUCGAGAAAAGCAAGUUUAAAGUUUAAAUUGUAGCAUACUUUAUAUUGUAUAUACUAUUGAGGAAAGGAUAACAGUUGACUGAACAGUUCCAGAUUGCCAUUCGUAUUAGUUUCCAGACAAGUGUCCGACUGAAAGUUGGGAAGGGCGUAUGCAAGUUGGUUACUUAUAUGGCUGAAACUAGAAUAUAGUUAUUGCGUUUUUUGCUAUAGCAUACCAUCCGAGAAUACACAAUUGAUAGCUUCAUAAACUAACCGGUUCCAUGUAAUUUUACGGUGCGUUCUCCAAAUUGCAAUCUUCUUAACAAUCUUUUUUUCAAUAGUUUUUUACAAAUCUCGUACAUUCAGUGCAUUUUUGUACAAGUAAAUUCCAUCGUGAAUACAACCGGUGGGAGCUUCAUGAGAUCGAUUGA